rnacentral:miRNA from 1 species
GCUGACACAUCCCGGUCAAUCUCCAGCAGACCCUCCCUCCCAGACCCUCCUACUUCCUGGACAGCAUCCAUGUUGUUUCAACAUGGAUGCUGUCCAGGAAGUAGGAGGGUCUGGGAGGGAGGGUCUGCUGGAGAUUGGCCGGGAUGUGUCAG